GAUGAAGAACGCAGUGAAAUGCGAUAAGUAAUGUGAAUUGCAGAAUUCAGUGAAUCAUCGAAUCUUUGAACGCACAUUGCGCCCGCCAGUAUUCUGGCGGGCAUGCCUGUCCGAGCGUCAUUGCUGCCCUCAAGCACGGCUUGUGUGUUGGGCCUCCGUCCUCCUCCCGGGGGACGGGCCCGAAAGGCAGCGGCGGCACCGCGUCCGGUCCUCGAGCGUAUGGGGCUUCGUCACCCGCUCUUGUAGGCCCGGCCGGCGCUUGCCGACACAUCAAUCUUUUUUCCAGGUUGACCUCGGAUCAGGUAGGGAUACCCGCUGAACUUAAGCAUAUCAAUAAGCGGAGGA
rnacentral:misc_RNA from 1 species